rnacentral:rRNA from 1 species
UGAAACCGUUCGGAGGUAAACGAGUGGGCCCUCGAAGUGUUGAAGGCGGGGGGACUCAGCCGAACGCCGUCGAGCCCGCCGGCCGCUCUCCGCGCUUCCCUCCCGGGACGCGAGCGGCCGGUGCGCUGGCUCCGGCUGGCGGCGCAUUUCCUCCCGUCCUCAGACGCCGCGACCGGUCGGGCACGCCACGAGCAGUCGGCCUUACUCGCGGGAAACGGAAGGUAGCCGGGUCGGCGCUCUCUCGGGCGCCGGCUCCCGGUGUUCUAUCCGUCCCGCAAUCGAGUCAGCCGUUCGCCCGACCGCAGGACCGGUGGCCCUCAGGGGCCCCGCCGCGCCCUUCCUCCCUUCGGGGAGGAAUCGAUCUUCCGUCCCGGAAGGGAUGCCGUCCGUUUUCUCCUCGCCGCACCCCCCAGGUGCGCGAGGGACGGCGGCGCCCGCUGGCCGGGACGGUUUCGACGGGCUGCAGGCGGUCCGCGGCGAGUAGGUCGGUCACCCACUCGACCCGUCUUGAAACACGGACCAAGGAGUUUAACAUGCGCGCGAGUCACUGGGUCGUGAGCAGGCCCAAGGGCGCAAUGAAAGUGAAGGGCGGUUCCAUGCCGUCCGCGUUGGGAUCCGCCGGCCUCCGCGCCGGCGGCGCACCAACGGCUCGUCCGGGCCGCCUCGUCGGCCGGGCGAAGCUAGAGCGCGCAUGUUGAGACCCGAAAGAUGGUGAACUAUGGCUGGGCAGGACGAAGCC